GACGAACGCUGGCGGCGUGCUUAACACAUGCAAGUCGAACGGUGAAGCGCUUUCCUUUUUGGUGGGUGUGGAUGAGUGGCGAACGGGUGAGUAACACGUGAGUAACCUGCCCUCUUCUUCUGGAUAACCUCAUGAAAGUGGGGCUAAUACGGGGUAUUCCGGGUCUGUCGCAUGGCGGGUUUGGGAAAGAUUGCGCCUUUGGGUGUUUUCGGUGGGGGAUGGGCUCGCGGCCUAUCAGCUUGUUGGUGAGGUGAUGGCCUACCAAGGCGGUGACGGGUAGCCGGAGUGAGAGGGUGGCCGGCCACACUGGGACUGAGACACGGCCCAGACUCGUGAGGGAGGAAGCGGUGGGGAAUAGUGCACAAUGGGAGCAAGACUGAUGCAGCGACGCCGCGUGAGGGAUGGAGGCCUUCGGGUUGUGAACCUCUUUCGCCAGUGAAGCAGGCCUGCUCCUGUGUGGGUGGGUUGACGGUAGCUGGAUAAGAAGCGCCGGCUAACUACGUG
rnacentral:rRNA from 1 species